GUCCCCAGCAGUCAGCUUGUCUCUACUGUUUUCCAUUGUCUGUGGCCAGAGGUGGAGGGAGGCACAGCAUCUGAAAUAUGAACCUAUUCUGCUUCUCUCUGGAGGGCUCGACGGACAGCCUGUAUGAGCCUGCUCUCAACAAACACCCAGUCAUCCAAGAACACAGUUGUAGAGUUCCCAGUCGACACAACAGCCGACACAGCAGCCCUUCUCUGAGGGACAGGACUAAGUGGAGAGGCUCAGAUCCAUGUAUACCCACAGAGCUGUCCGAGGCUCACAAAUCCCAUUUGAAAAAGAAGAAGAGAAG